GUCUCAGUAGUGUAGUGGUUAACACACCAGCCUAGAAUAGGUGGGAGACGUGGUUUCGACUCCCGCCCGAGCCG
rnacentral:tRNA from 1 species